rnacentral:rRNA from 1 species
GACGAACGCUGGCGGCGUGCUUAACACAUGCAAGUCGAACGGAAAGGCCCUGCUUGCAGGGUACUCGAGUGGCGAACGGGUGAGCAACACGUGGGUGAUCUGCCCUGCACUUCGGGAUAAGCCUGGGAAACUGGGUCUAAUACCGGAUAGGAGCCAUUUUUAGUGUGAUGGUUGGAAAGUUUUUUCGGUGUAGGAUGAGCUCGCGGCCUAUCAGCUUGUUGGUGGGGUAAUGGCCUACCAAGGCGGCGACGGGUAGCCGGCCUGAGAGGGUGGACGGCCACAUUGGGACUGAGAUACGGCCCAGACUCCUACGGGAGGCAGCAGUGGCGAAUAUUGCACAAUGGGCGCAAGCCUGAUGCAGCGACGCCGCGUGGGGGAUGACGGCCUUCGGGUUGUAAACUCCUUUCGCUAGGGACGAAGCUUUUUGUGACGGUACCUAGAUAAGAAGCACCGGCUAACUACGUG